UAUUAAAAUUUUUCUCCAUUUGUACUAUUGAAAAUUAGCAUGGUUGGCAAAAUAACAAAAAAUGACACGUGACAUGCAAUGUGUACCUCAUAUUGACGUAUACAAAUCAAUUUUUAACAAUAAAAAAUAGAUGAAAUUUUCAACA
rnacentral:pre_miRNA from 1 species